AACGAACGCUGGCGGCAUGCCUAACACAUGCAAGUCGAACGAGACCAUCGGGUCUAGUGGCGCACGGGUGCGUAACGGGUGGGAACCUGCCCAUGGGUUCGGAAUAACUCCCCGAAAGGGGUGCUAAUACGGGAGAAUGUCUUCGGACCAAAGAUUUAUCGACUUUGGAUGGGCUCGCGUGGGAUUAGCUAGUUGGUAGGGUAAAAGCCUCCCAAGGCGACGAUACAUAGCUGGGCUGAGAGGAUGAGCAGCCACACUGGGACUGAGACACGGCCCAGAAUACUACGGGAGGCAGCAGAGGGGGAUAUUGGAAAAUGGGCGGAAGCCUGAUGCAGCAAUGCCGGGUGAGUGAUGAAGGCCUUAGGGUAGUAAAGCUCUUUUACCCGGGAUGAUAAUGACAGUACCGGGAGAAUAAGCUCCGGCUAACUCCGUG
rnacentral:rRNA from 1 species